UACGUAGGGUGCGAGCGUUGUCCGGAAUUACUGGGCGUAAAGAGCUCGUAGGUGGUUUGUCGCGUUGUUCGUGAAAUCUCACGGCUUAACUGUGAGCGUGCGGGCGAUACGGGCAGACUAGAGUACUGCAGGGGAGACUGGAAUUCCUGGUGUAGCGGUGGAAUGCGCAGAUAUCAGGAGGAACACCGGUGGCGAAGGCGGGUCUCUGGGCCGUUACUGACGCUGAGGAGCGAAAGCGUGGGGAGCGAACAGG
rnacentral:rRNA from 1 species